rnacentral:tRNA from 1 species
AUCACAAUAGCUUAACGAAAAGUAUUGCGCCGAUAACUCAAAGGAUGUUGGUUCGAGUCCAACUUGUGAUU